rnacentral:rRNA from 1 species
CCUACGGGAGUCAGCAGUGAGGCAUAUUGGUCAAUGGGCUCGAGCCUGAACCAGCAAAGUAGCGUGAAGGAGGAAUGCACGACGGGUUGUAAACUUCAGGUAUAAAGUAAUAAAGUGAGGCACGUGCGCCGUUUGGUAUGAACGGUCUGAAUAAGGAUCGGCUAACUCCGUGCCCUCAGCCGCGGUAAUACGGAGGAUCCGAGCGUUCUCCGGAUUUCUUUGGGUUAAACUGGGCGUAGAUGGGUUGUUAAGUCAGUUGUGAAAGUUUGCGGCUCAACCGUAAAAUUGCAAUUGAUACUGGCAGUCUUGAGUACAGUGGAGGUAGGCGGAAUUCGUGGUGUAGCGGUGAAAUGCUUAGAUAUCACGAAGAACUCCGAUUGCGAAGGCAGCUUACUAAACUGCCACUGACAUUGAUGCUCGAAAGUGUGGGUAUCAAACAGGAUUAGAUACCCCAGUAGUC